UACGGGGGGUGCGAGCGUUGUCCGGAAUUACUGGGCGUAAAGCGCGUGUAGGCGGCAAGGCAAGUCGGAUGUGAAAGCCCACGGCUCAACCGUGGAAGUGCACCCGAAACUGCCUAGCUAGAGUCUCGGAGAGGAAGGUGGAAUGCUUGGUGUAGAGGUGAAAUUCGUAGAUAUCAAGCGGAACACCGGUGGCGAAGGCGGCCUUCUGGACGAUGACUGACGCUGAGACGCGAAAGCGUGGGGAGCAAACAGG
rnacentral:rRNA from 1 species